rnacentral:rRNA from 1 species
UACGGGGGGGGCAAGCGUUGUUCGGAAUUACUGGGCGUAAAGGGCUCGUAGGCGGCCAACUAAGUCAGACGUGAAAUCCCUCGGCUUAACCGGGGAACUGCAUCUGAUACUGGAUGGCUUGAGAUUGGGAGAGGGAUGCGGAAUUCCAGGUGUAGCGGUGAAAUGCGCAGAUAUCAGGAGGAACACCGGUGGCGAAGGCGGGUCUCUGGGCCGUAACUGACGCUGAGGAGCGAAAGCAUGGGGAGCGAACAGG